AGUCACCCGCUUCGUUUCAGUCAGUAGUUUGUGACUUGUUCUUUUGAUCAUGUUGUAAGUAGUAUUGAUUUACAAUUUACACAUUUAGCAGGAGCAGCAAUGUGUGGAACACCGCUUCGCAGUGGUGCUACGAUCGGCCAAUUCUUCGAAUUCAAUUAAGAAUAUGUUCAGCGUCCGCAAGUGGUAGUGGGGUAAUUCCAUGAAAUAGCGCUGCUUGCAGUUUGCGCACCUACUAAAAGACGGUCGCUGCUCAACACUGCAGAUCCAUUCCAUUUGAAAUGGAAAUUCUCAGCCAUCGUUAGCUUAUUUCUGCACUCUCAACAGACAUAGGAAUCUUCACCGAUGGUUCAAACGAUGGGACCACAGCCCCCAAUGGUACGCCAGCAACAACCGAUUCUUCUGAUACUUCGGACCCACCGACACCACCCAUCAAGAAGCGGAAGACACUUUGAAGACCUUGACAGAUGGAAUUUUGAAGGAGGUGGGAGCACGGAACGAAAUGCAGAGCGACGCCACCUUGCGAUGCAUUCGCGUGACGACAUUACCUUCACAAUAAUUUGCCUUGAAGAACAAAAUUAUUCUUUACUGUUGCUGCUGGAGUGGUAACCUCAGCCAGUUGAUGCCUUGACCAUCACUAGGAGCCAGGAUGCCUUGAUCAUCAACUGGCUGGUGAAGCCACUGCAGCAGCAACAGUCCAGAACAAUCUUGUUAUUGAAGACAAAGUUAGGACCGGAGCCAAAGGAAAUCUGGACUCGGACUAUCUGCUGAUAAUAUUUUGAUAACGUUUUUACAAAUUGAAUAAAAUUAGAUAACUAAAUA